GAUGAACGCUGGCGGCGUGUUUAACACAUGCAAGUCGAGCGAGAAACUACAUGCAGACACUUCGGUAGAAGCGAGUAGCGGAAAGCGGCGGACGGGUGAGUAACGCGUAGGCAACCUGCCCUUCACAGAGGUAUAGCCUCGGGAAACCGGGAUUAAAACCACAUAAAAUCAUAGGUUCGCAUGAACCAAAGGUCAAAGAUUUAUCGGUGAAGGAUGGGCCUGCGUCUGAUUAGCUGGUUGGUAGGGUAAAAGCCUACCAAGGCGACGAUCAGUAGCCGACCUGAGAGGGUGAUCGGCCACAUUGGAACUGAGACACGGUCCAAACUCCUACGGGAGGCAGCAGUGGGGGAUAUUGCACAAUGGGGGAAACCCUGAUGCAGCAACGCCGCGUGAGGUAUGAAGGCCUUUGGGUUGUAAGCCUUCUGUCCCUAGGGGAAAGAAAAAAAAGACGGUACCCGAAGGAGAG
rnacentral:rRNA from 1 species